rnacentral:rRNA from 1 species
GAUGAACGCUGGCGGCGUGCCUAAUACAUGCAAGUCGAGCGAACGGAUUAAGAGCUUGCUCUUAUGAAGUUAGCGGCGGACGGGUGAGUAACACGUGGGUAACCUGCCCAUAAGACUGGGAUAACUCCGGGAAACCGGGGCUAAUACCGGAUAACAUUUUGAACCGCAUGGUUCGAAAUUGAAAGGCGGCUUCGGCUGUCACUUAUGGAUGGACCCGCGUCGCAUUAGCUAGUUGGUGAGGUAACGGCUCACCAAGGCAACGAUGCGUAGCCGACCUGGGAGGGUGAUCGGCAACACUGGGACUGAGACACGGCCCGGACGCCGUCGGGAGGCAGCAGUAGGGAAUCUUCCGCAAUGGACGAAAGUCUGACGGAGCAACGCCGCGUGAGUGAUGAAGGCUUUCGGGUCGUAAAACUCUGUUGUUAGGGAAGAACAAGUGCUAGUUGAAUAAGCUGGCACCUUGACGGUACCUAACCAGAAAGCCACGGCUAACUACGUGCCAGCAGCCGCCGUAA